rnacentral:rRNA from 1 species
CUCUGCAGCUCUCAUCUGGUUGCCCACUGAAGCUAAGCAGGGUUGAGCCUGGUCAGUACCUGGAUGGGAGACCUCCUGGGAAAACUAGGUUGCUGCUGGAA